rnacentral:rRNA from 1 species
GACCUGAUCCAGCCAUGCCGCGUGUGUGAAGAAGGCCUUUUGGUUGUAAAGCACUUUAAUGCAGUGAAGAAGACUCUGCGGUUAAUACCCGGGGACGAUGACAUUAGCUGCAGAAUAAGCACCGGCUAACUCUGUGCCAGCAGCCGCGGUAAUACAGAGGGUGCAAGCGUUAAUCGGAAUUACUGGGCGUAAAGCGAGCGUAGGUGGCUUGAUAAGUCAGAUGUGAAAUCCCCGGGCUUAACCUGGGAACUGCAUCUGAAACUGUUAGGCUAGAGUAGGUGAGAGGGAAGUAGAAUUUCAGGUGUAGCGGUGAAAUGCGUAGAGAUCUGAAGGAAUACCGAUGGCGAAGGCAGCUUCCUGGCAUCAUAUUGACACUGAGGUUCGAAAGCGUGGGUAGCAAACAGGAUUAGAUACCCUGGUAGUCCACGCCGUAAACGAUGUCUACUAGUCGUUGGGUCCCUUGAGGACUUAGUGACGCAGCUAACGCAAUAAGUAGACCGCCUGGGGAGUACGGCCGCAAGGUUAAAACUCAAA